UACGUAGGGUGCGAGCGUUAAUCGGAAUUACUGGGCUUAAAGGGUGCGUAGGCGGCGCGGAAAGUAGGGUGUGAAAUCCCUCGGCUCAACCGAGGAAUUGCGCCCUAAACUACCGUGCUCGAGGGAGAUAGAGGUGAGCGGAACUAGGGUGGAGCGGUGAAAUGCGUUGAUAUCCUAAGGAACACCGAUAGCGAAGGCAGCUUACUAGACUGUAACUGACGCUGAGGCACGAAAGUGUGGGGAUCAAACAGG
rnacentral:rRNA from 1 species